rnacentral:hammerhead_ribozyme from 1 species
GUCUAACUGACGAGUCUAAAAUAGGACAAAACGCGCGUCAAACUGGAU